UUGUUUAGAUAGGAGAAAUAUCACAUGACAGAAAGAAUACAGUGAUUUAUAACAGAAGAUCUUCAAUCAAGAACUGACCCUGUCCCUGCAAUUAUGGGGUCACUGACAAAAGUAGAAGUGACUGGCAAUGGACCAGGAUGCAGUGGAUGAUCUUGGCCUUUUUCAACUAAAGUCUUUCUCAGGCAGUGAACGUCUUAACCAAGAACUCUCAAUGCUGAGGAAAUCACAAGAUGAUGAUGAUGAUGAUGAUGAUGAUGAUGAUGAUGAUGAUGAUGAUACCUAUAUUUGCAUUAUCUGUAAGAGUAAGAACUACCUCUACUGUACCUGCUUUAAAGGGUAACAUUUUUGAAGAACAGAAAUUCAGAAAGAGAAAUUCCAUAUAGAUGGCCAUGUCCUCCAGACAUUCCUCUUUACAGAGGAAAUUCUUCUGAUUUUUUCAAAUCUCAGAAUACUAAAGAAGAGAUUUCUAAAUGAGAUCAAUUUUGAUUGAAAAGAGUUCAAUUUAUCCAUAUAGGAAAAACCAAGUUGGGUAAAGAAUGUCUAUUAUCAAGGCAGGUUUAUUGAGUGGGUUGAG